rnacentral:rRNA from 1 species
GAUGAACGCUGGCGGCGUGCCUAAUACAUGCAAGUCGAGCGAAAGGGCGCGAAUCUUGCUUCUCUGAUGUUAGCGACGGAUGGGUGAGUAACACGUGGACUACCUACCUAUAAGACUUGGAUAACUUCGAGAGACCGGAGUUAAUACCGGAUAAUAUUUUGAACCGCAUGGUUCGAAAGUGAAAGACGGUUUUGCUGUCACUUCUAGCUGGAUCCGGGCUGCAUUAGAUAGUUGGUAAGGUAACGGCUUACCAAGGCAAGGAUGCAUAGCCGACCUGAGAGGGUGAUCGGCCACACUGGAGCUUGGACACGGUCCAGGCGCCUACGGGAGGGAGCAGUAGGGAAUGUGCCGCAAUAGGCGAAAGCCUGACGGAGCGACGGCGCGUGAGAGAUGAAGGUCUUCGGAUCGUAAUACUCUGUUAUUAGUGAAGAACAUAUGUGUAAGUAACUGAGCACAUCGUGACGGUACCUAGUCAGAAAGCCACGGCUAACUACGUG